AAAGAUGUUAAAAUUUUUCCGAGCACUUUUUUAAAAUAAUUUUAUGUACUAAAGAAUGAAAUAACAACAUUAAUCACCAUUUAUCUAGCGAGAAACUUGAACAUUGCUUUUUCAACCCUUACGAGUAAGCACAUAGAACAAAUAUAAUAACAAGAAUAAGUGAGAGGAAUGUUACCUUAGGAACUAACAGAGGAAUUUUCUUACACAAAUUUUCGGUGACUGGCUUUUCUUUUCUUUUAUAUGUGUCAAAGACAAUCCUGCAAAAAAUUAGAAAUAAAUAAAACUAAGUUUGAGUAUAACUCAUAUGUUAAAUAUGUGGCUAUGGAAUUAUCUUCUUAUCAGAUGUUUGAGCCAUAUAGGGCUUAUUUAGACCUAAUACAUAUCCAAGAAUAUAUGUUAUUAAAAUUUUUGUAUUAAAAGUUCCUAUCAAUUAGAUUUGUGGAACAGAGAAGUUUUGUAAUAAAAGUUCAAAUUUAAGAUUGGGAUUCAUUGCCAUUUUUUAAUCCAUAAUGCCAUCUAAAAGAAGGUAGGGAGUUUUUACCCACUCAAAUUUAAAUCUUAUAUGUAAAUACUAUUGAAAUUCCAAUAUGUAAAACAAACUUUUUUUUCUGUUUUUUGAUUGGGAUAAGUAUAUUUAUCAUAAUAUAAGAACCCUGUAUCUCAAAUCUUAAUUUAAUUUUUUUACCUUGUCACUUGUGGUUGUGGAUGCUUGUAAAAACUUCAAGUUCACAUGGCAUAGUAUGUUUUUCUUGGUUUAUUUUUAUGGAGUUAGAAUAUAUAGUUUUUGUUGGUAGAAAAAAUUGAAACUAUCAAAAAAAUUACAUAUCAAUAUGUAUAUGAAUACAAUUACUCAUAACUCAUUUCUACAUUUACUAUGUAAUUUCAUUUUUUACAAAACUUAAUUUAUUCUAUUCAUAUAACAACAUUUAAGCAUUUAUUUUCAUUCAUUUUAAAUGUAGACAAUAUUGAAUACUCAAUAUGGCUAUCAAAUCAUGCAAUCCACUAUAUUUGAAAAGUCCAAAAAAGAAAAAAUAGAAAGUGACUUAAUGGUUUUGUUAUUUACUUAUUUCAAAUACAUGAUUAUCUAACAAGUGUAUUUCGCUAAUCCAAAGAAGAAAGAAGGAAAGCAAAUUAAAGGUUUGGCUACUUUAGUGAAUUCAAAAACAAAAUAAUUUAAAAGGAUUAUUAGUUAUAAUUAAAUCGAUCGAUCAAUCUAAAGAAAACAAUUUGCAUCACAUUAAUGAAUCAAAUUUGUAUAUAUUCCACAUAUUAACAGAUUAAAAAUCUCAAAAGGAAAAAAAUAGAUUAAAGGGGUGUGUUCAAUCGAUGACUACAACAUCGUUUCUUUAUUUAACAACCUUUGAAGAAACUAAAAGAAAUUCCUUUAAUGAUCUGUGAUUUCAUCACUAUUCAACAUUGUUUCCAUUUCUAUUCUUCUCUGAAGGUAAAAAUAAUUAUCAUGCCUUCAAUUUCUUCAAUUAAUGUAGAUUCCCCAAAUUUUUUUCGUUUCUCUUCUUUCAUGAAAGUAAGUUCUUUACCAUAAAAAAUAAUAUUUUCAAUAAUUUGCCUUGGCAGCCAAACAAGUGGACAAACCACAUAACACUUUCUUUCAUAACCAUGGAUAUAAAUAUAUACAGGACAUUUACACUAACAAAAAGCUAAAUGACCAAAAAAAACAAAAAAAAAAAAAAGGAAAAAAGAAUGAAGAAGCUUUUAAUAAAAAUUUACAUAUCUUUUGAAAAGAAUAGCAACAUUGUAAUGCAACAUGUGAUUGAUAUUGAACCUUAAAGUAUAAGUACACAUACUUGUUGUCAGCACAAAAUGAAAACGACAAAGAUUCCAAGAGAUGCUAUUAAAACCUUGUAAAAUAUUAAUGAACAAACGUAAGAUUUAACUAUUACGAAUCGAUGACAUGACAAACUAACAAUUAAAAUAAUUUACAAAAUUGAAAUACAAUAUAUUGAAAACAACAAAAGGCGAACUGGCAAAAAAAAAAAUAGAAAGAUAAUAUUGAAGACAUAUUUAGGAAUUUUAAAAAAUAAAUCUUAAGAAAUCAAAGCCAAAAAUGAUCGUCUAAUUUUUUUCGAUAUUGCAAAAAUUAUAUAUUUCCAAUUCCCAUUCAUAAAUUUUCACCCGUCUACAUUCAAAGUGCUGAAAAUUGUGAUUUUCAAAUUUUAAACCCUUCACAUGAAAUAGUCAAAAAAGUGAAUUUCCAUUCUGAAAUUUCCACUUGUCUACAGUUAUAUUCUUAAAAAUUGGGACUUUUCAAAAAUAGUCAAAAAACUAUGUAGAAAACCUGCAAUAAGACUGAAAAGAAUUACAACAAACCAAAAAAACACAUAUAUCUGUACGAAUGUUUACCUAUUUGAUUAACAAGGCACAAUUCACAGCCAGACAACAAAACUUUCAAAGAUCAACAAUAACGACUGAUUUUUAGAAGACGAGUUCAAAAAAGUGUGUAAAAUGAAUACAAUAUCACAAGAUAAGACUAUAAUCUUGAAACGUGGACAAGAACUCAAGAUUUCAAUUGGAGAUCCUAAAAAAUGCGAAGAGAAGUGCUAAGGUUUUGGCUCGCAGCAAAAAUGAAGAGAAGAAAAUAUUUUUUAACGAUUGAGAAAGAAGAAGAAAAGUAAAGUAUUGAUAGCUUUGAAAAUAGAACUAAAAAAUAUUGAGAAAUAUAAUUUUAUUUGAUUUUUUUUACAAUAAUGUCGAAAUUUUAAAAAUUGAUUAAAAUGUGCUAUGUGUAUGAAGUUUUAAGUUUAUUUGAUAUAUGAUUUUGUAUUGAAUGAUUUUUUUUAAAGUUUAUUUAUUUUUGUUAUUUGUACCGUAGUUAUUAAGAAAAUUAUAUAGAGAUUAAAUUCAUAAUCCCCAUUUCAUUCUUGAACAUGGAAACUCAACAUUAAAAUGAUAAAUACAAAUAAAUGUAUAUUUAGCGAAUAUUGAGGUGGAAUUUAGGAUAUUAAUGUAAUUAUUUAAUCAAAAUAAAGUUUUAACGGAAAAUUUGAUAUUACCGUAUAUAAAUUACAUGUAUUUGUUAUAAAAUUGUCAUAACUUUAUAAAUCGUAUAAUGAAAAUUUGUUUAUUAUUUUACGAAAAUGCAGUGUUGAGUGUAAUUAGUUAGCAUAUUGCGUAGUGUUGUGCGAGUGACAUUCCUUCGUGACAGAUGGAGUGCCUUCGCGCAGGGUAGAGUCUUCCUUGAAAUACUCCACGCUGCGCGGAAUUUGAUCACUCCGUGGAGUCACUCCGCCCAGUGCGGAGUGUUUAGUGAAACACUCCGCACUGUGCAGAGUGUUACGGCAGCGCGAAGUUCAACAUAGCCAUGUAGCAUGCUAAAAAAAUGAAUCCUAAAAUAUUUGAAUACUUAACAUUGCAGGCUGAGAGGGUAUAAUGUAUAAAUGUUUGGUAUGAUUUUUUAACAUAAAAAUAUUUGCUAAACUAUAUAUUCUUUAUAACAUCAAUAAAUUCUAAAUUUAUUUUCAUUAAAUAAAAAUUACCUUUUCCGAGGCGAGAACGGUGGUGACAUUCGAUUUUGGAAAAGUAGGCAGCGAGAAUGGCAACCUUCGA
rnacentral:lncRNA from 1 species